rnacentral:rRNA from 1 species
GAUGAACGCUGGCGGCGUGCUUAACACAUGCAAGUCGAACGAAGCACUUUAUUUGAUUUCCUUCGGGACUGAUUAUUUUGUGACUGAGUGGCGGACGGGUGAGUAACGCGUGGGUAACCUGCCUUGUACAGGGGGAUAACAGUUGGAAACGGCUGCUAAUACCGCAUAAGCGCACGGCAUCGCAUGAUGCAGUGUGAAAAACUCCGGUGGUAUAAGAUGGACCCGCGUUGGAUUAGCUAGUUGGUGAGGUAACGGCCCACCAAGGCGACGAUCCAUAGCCGACCUGAGAGGGUGACCGGACACAUUGGGACUGAGACACGGCCCAAACUCCUACGGGAGGCAGCAGUGGGGAAUAUUGCACAAUGGGCGAAAGCCUGAUGCAGCGACGCCGCGUGAGCGAAGAAGUAUUUCGGUAUGUAAAGCUCUAUCAGCAGGGAAGAUAAUGACGGUACCUGACGAAGAAGCACCGGCUAAAUACGUG